UUGAAAGGGAAACGAUUGAAGUCAGUCGUACCGACGAGAAAUCAACUUUUCGAAUGUGCAUUUGUGGGCGUAUGAGAUCUUCAUUGUUUACAAUAUGUAUGUUUCUUUGGUGUACUUUUUCGUAUGGUAGGUCAAUGUCGGUUUUGAUCGCCAUAAAAUGAUCGGAGGAAUGUAGCUUCGACCUCGGUUGAAGUGUUAUAGCCUUUGGUAAAUGUGGUGAUUAAGACCGAGGAUUGCAACGAAUACCUUUUAGGCUAUCCGUCUGACCUCUGAAAGUUACUUAGGUGCCGAAAGCUUGCUUACGGUCAUUUAAGUUGACGGUCAAUAGGUUAGAACGUGAUUACAUUCGUUAAGGAUGUUGACGUA
rnacentral:rRNA from 1 species